GAUCGAUGAUGCUGUUCAAGAAGUACUGCGUUAUCUUCCUGAUGCAUGUGUUAGGCCCUCGUUACGAAGGCUUCCUGAUGACACAACUAUCUUGCUGAGAUC
rnacentral:snoRNA from 1 species